rnacentral:lncRNA from 1 species
UUCGUCCGUCCCUGUCCCGCUCAGGUCUCCCACCUGACGGUGCUCAGAACCUGCCAGGCCGUCCUCAGCUGUCAGACCCAGCACUGUGAGCAGCACUCAGGAGCCUCUAGUACGUUCUCAGGCCCAAGCUCACAUCAGUGUGUCAAUAUUCUCUUUUGGCAAAAGAAUUAUAUUUUAAAAUGUAGUCUUUGUGUGGAGGGAGUGCUUCCCUUCACAAGAGCCUCUCUCCCCUCCCCCCCCCCCUCCUCCUCCCUCUUCCUCUCUUCUCUCUCCCCCCCUCUCUCUCCAUACACCUUGCCUCUCCAUCAUAACAAAAUAAUUAUCGGUUUUUCAUGUCUUGCAAUUCUAUACUUUUGUUUUCUCUUUCGUGAUGCUGGAAAGGAGAGAAGAAAGGAAAUUCUUAAACAAAAAGAAUGUCUCACAUCCAAACUAAAACCUGUGUAUUCAUUUGUGUUUUGUCUUAUAAAACUUAACAGCCUAACGGAUUUCCUUUCUCAGUACUGCCAACAUCACACAUAUUGGCAGAUAGAGAAGUACUUGUGCCACAUAUUGUCACAUGUUAUCCCUAAUAAGGGAAGCGCUCACAUUUACACAACAGGCAACGGUGUGCAAGAAGCCCACCAGGCCAUGCUUACUUGUGGCUAAGGAUAAUGAGCAGUGUAUCUGGUGCAUGGUGUCCUUGAACCUCAAGGUGGGGAAUGUGUAAAAGUCCACACACA